AUUCCACUAGCCAUAUAGAGAAUGAUUCUUGACAUUCUUAGGAAUCACCUUGAGCUGGACAUUAUAGAGGCACUUUUCUUAGAGUUGGAUCAUUGUUCUAAGACAAGAACUCACCAAAAACUAGUACCAAAUCCCAAACUCAUUUGGAUGCUCCACAUAUUGUCAAAUUGAAUCAACAAAGAGAGGUAAAAUUGAAAGGACCGAACAGAAUUGAAUUAGCAAACAUAUGAACCGAACAAAAGUGUAAUUAAAAGACAAGAACAGAACAUAGGUGCUGGAAAAAAAAUAGAAAAGCCGAACCAAACAACUCAAGAACACAAGACAACAUGAACAAUUGAAAGAGAAGGAAGGAAGGAGAAGAGAGUGCUCAUGAAGAUGGAAGAAUGUUGGAUGAUCUCG
rnacentral:lncRNA from 1 species